UCGGGCACGUCCUCCUCCCCGCCCACUCCGCCUCGCUCUCGGACACGCCCCUUUUAACCCACGUGGGCGCUGUUCCGGCAGUCGGUAGUCUCGGGGCGGAAGAACCCUCCUCGCCAAGCGGAGACCCCAGAACCUCCCCAGUGCUGGCUUUUCCGCCCCGUCCCGCUCGUCUGACCUCGGGCCAUAAUCCUAACUGGCCUUUAUGGGACACCAAAUGGGCCAUCUCCAGUCAUUCUGAACUGUAUCUGGCCACUUGACCCCGCUGGCUCUGGAGAGGAAAAGUGAGGCUGGUGACCUUGAACAACCCUCCCUCCCUGAAAUCCAUUGUAUAAUCCAUUGUAUCAUCUCCCUGAUGUUAUAAUCUUCUUCGAGAAUAAAGGACAAAUAACUAAUUCAGCAGAGUGAAAUUCCAGGAUAAUGUACGUGAUUCUGUACUAGGGUAAUUUAUUCAUCCCAGCUCAAAUAUCAAUCAACUUUGGAGAAGUUCCUAGUGAGAAUAUUGAAAAGCACUUCUUGAAAACAUCACUGUGUGUGAAUGUGGUUCAGAUUCUCACACACAAACACACAUACCCCAAAAAACAAUUUGAAGCAGCCCUAAGGUUAUAAGCUAGUCUUCACCCACCUACUCCCCAUUUUUUUUUUAAAGCUGUGGACACUCUUGUUGGGAAAGGAGCAAUCAAGCUGUAAUUCAUCAGCAAUGUAUUAGCCCAAGCAACCUAGUAGAAAAGUAGCAGAUGAAACUUGGCUACAAAAGCACCUAACAGAAGACAUCAGUAUGCCAUAGCUCUGGAGAAAGCAACCUAAUAAAUGGCAUCAUCAAAACUGCUGGAAUACAAUGAUAGCUUUGGAGGUGAGGAGGUGGUGUAGCACUUGGGAUGCACCCCUGGAAACUUGAUUUGUCUGAGCUUUGUGUGUUCCUAUGUAGGAGUCUGUGAGCCUGUGUGUGUGUGUGUGUGUGUGUGUGUGUGUGUGUGAGAAAGAGAGAGAGAGAGAGAAUAGUGAUAGGAAAGGAGGGAUCCUUUAGUUACCUUACUAUUCUGUCUAGUUAAAUGCUUUUUGUGUUAAAUGUUUUUGUGUCAGUGUUUUCUCUGAUAAAGAGAAAAAAAGAAAAAUAUUGGCUAGGAGCUUGUGUUGUUGAUGUAAAUGACUUUCAGUGUUUCAAAUCUUCAACUCACAUUCAGAACACUUAAUAUAAAAGUAGUUUUGAAAAAUGAGAGCAUAAAAAGUUUUUCAUUAUUUUCUGUGUAGAGAUUAUACUCCAUUCCACUAGUCUUCAGGAAAACUGGUAAAAAUAAAUAAAUAAAUAAAAGUUUUAGAAGGGAUUUAAAACAUAAGCAGGACAAAGAGUAGUUUCUAGAAAAUUGAAGUAGAUUUUUUUUUUAAAAAAGCACAUUUUAUUGAUUACUUUUGUUUUUACAUCACAAUCAUUUCCCACACACUCUCUGCAGACUGAACUCUUCCUUGUGAAAAAGAAAAAAAAUACAACCAUCUAAUAUUGAGAUUGUAUUUGACAAUGCACAGUAAUCCAAAUGUUGUCCCCAUAAUCCUGCUGUCAGCUCAACCUGGAAAACUAAACUGUGGGAUUGAGAAAAGCAGGAAAUACAGGAAGAUUUGAAGGAAAACCUGGUACUCAGCUGGGAACUAAAUUGCAGACUCCUAGAAUUUGCAGUAGGAGAGACAACACAGAACUUCAUGAAGAAGAACCCUCAGUCACUUGGUAGUAGGUACUAGGAUUUUAAGUCAAUUGAACUCAAAGAGCAUUUAAUUGUCUACUUUUUGUCUAAAGGACUCUAUUAGAUGCAGGGGAUACAAAGACAAAAAAAAUAAAAUUUACCCUUAAGGAUCUUAACAAACCACUGAUAUAUAGGGAGACUUUCAAAGAGAUAAGUACAUAUAAUUUGCAGGAGGAAAAAGACAUUAACAACUGAGGGGAAAAGUCUUAUGUAGAAGCUGGCCUUGAAGAAAAUUAGUGAUUGAGGCAAAGGUGAGGUGGGAUAACAUCCAAAUAUGAGGAACAUCAUUUUAUGCAAAGUUAUGUUGAGCUCUGAAACAGCACACAGACCAGUUUUGGCUGGAACAGAUUAAUGUGAAGGAGAAUAAUAUACAAUCAGUCUAAAAAAGUUGGCUGGAGUCAGAGUGUUAGGGGUUUUAAAUGCCAAAUGGGAAAAUUUGUAGAUUUUCCCUAUAUUUUCCUAAAAACAAUAUGCAGAGAAAUGAUAUGGUGAGACCCAUGCUUCAGAAAUAACACUUUGGCAGCUGUGGUGAUGGA